UACGAAGGGGGCUAGCGUUGUUCGGAAUUACUGGGCGUAAAGCGCACGUAGGCGGAUAUUUAAGUCAGGGGUGAAAUCCCGCAGCUCAACUGCGGAACUGCCUUUGAUACUGGGUAUCUAGAGUAUGGAAGAGGUGAGUGGAAUUCCGAGUGUAGAGGUGAAAUUCGUAGAUAUUCGGAGGAACACCAGUGGCGAAGGCGGCUCACUGGUCCAUUACUGACGCUGAGGUGCGAAAGCGUGGGGAGCGAACCGG
rnacentral:rRNA from 1 species